CCUACGGGAGGCAGCAGUGAGGAAUAUUGGUCAAUGGACGGAACCCUGAACCAGCCAUGCCGCGUGCAGGAAGACGGCUCUAUGAGUUGUAAACUGCUUUUGUACAAGGGUAAACCUGAAUACGUGUAUACAGCUGAAAGGACUGUACGAAUAAAGAUCGGCUAACUCCGAGCCAGCAGCAGCGGUAAUACGGAGGAUCCAAGCGUUAUCCGGAUUUAUGGGGUUUAAAGGGUGCGUAGGCGGAUUGAUAAGUUAGAGGUGAAACGUCCGAGCUUAACUCUGGAACUGCCUCUAAUACUGUUGAUCUAGAGAGUAGAUGCGGUAGGCGGAAUGUAUGGUGUAGCGGUGAAAUGCUUAGAGAUCA
rnacentral:rRNA from 1 species